UUAAAGAGUUCAGUGGUAGAGCACUUACUUAGCAUGUAUGAGGCCCUGGGUUCAAUCCCAGUACUGAAA
rnacentral:tRNA from 1 species